rnacentral:rRNA from 1 species
GGGGGAUAUUGCGCAAUGGGGGCAACCCUGACGCAGCAACGCCGCGUGAAGGAUGAAGGUUUUCGGAUUGUAAACUUCUUUUAUUAAGGACGAAACUUGACGGUACUUAAUGAAUAAGCUCCGGCUAACUACGUGCCAGCAGCCGCGGUAAUACGUAGGGAGCAAGCGUUGUCCGGAUUUACUGGGUGUAAAGGGUGCGUAGGCGGCUUUGCAAGUCAGAUGUGAAAUCUAUGGGCUCAACCCAUAAACUGCAUUUGAAACUGUAGAGCUUGAGUGAAGUAGAGGCAGGCGGAAUUCCCCGUGUAGCGGUGAAAUGCGUAGAGAUGGGGAGGAACACCAGUGGCGAAGGCGGCCUGCUGGGCUUUAACUGACGCUGAGGCACGAAAGCGUGGGUAGCAAACAGGAUUAGAUACCCUGGUAGUCCACGCUGUAAACGACGAUUACUAGGUGUGGGGGGUCUGACCCCUUCCGUGCCGGAGUUAACACAAUAAGUAAUCCACCUGGGGAGUACGGCCGCAAGGUUGAAACUCAAAGGAAUUGACGGGGGCCCGCACAAGCAGUAGAGUAUGUGGUUUAAUUCGAAGCAACGCGAAGAACCUUACCAGGUCUUGACAUCCAACUAACGAAGUAGAGAUACAUUAGGUGCCCUUCGGGGAAAGUUGAGACAGGUGGUGCAUGGUUGUCGUCAGCUCGUGUCGUGAGAUGUUGGGUUAAGUCCCGCAACGAGCGCAACCCUUGCUAUUAGUUGCUACGCAAGAGCACUCUAAUAGGACUGCCGUUGACAAAACGGAGGAAGGUGGGGACGACGUCAAAUCAUCAUGCCCCUUAUGACCUGGGCUACACACGUACUACAAUGGAUGUUAACAGAGGGAAGCAAGACAGCGAUGUGGAGCAAACCCCUAAAAACAUUCUCAGUUCAGAUUGCAGGCUGCAACCCGCCUGCAUGAAGAUGGAAUUGCUAGUAAUCGCGGAUCAGCAUGCCGCGGUGAAUACGUUCCCG